AUGAGACUGAUCAUCAAGGAGACGUUGAGGCUGCACCCGCCGGGGCCACUGAUGUUGCCGCGCGAGCCCACCGAGGCGUGCAAGGUCCUCGGGUAUGAUGUGCCGACGAGCACCACCGUGUUCGUGAACGCGUGGGUGGUCUGCAGAGACCCCAAUCACUGGGACGCCGCGGAGGAGUUCAGGCCAGAGCGGUUCGAGUCCGGCGAAGUAGACUUCAAGGGAACCAACUUCGAGUACACACCGUUCGGGGCAGGCAGGAGGAUCUGUCCCGGGAUGAUGUUCGCGCAUUCUAGCAUGGAGCUCACCCUUGCUGCCCUUCUCUACCACUUCGACUGGGAGCUUCCUGCCGGAGGGGAGUUGGACAUGGAAGAGGAGAUGGGCAUCACCAUCAGCCGGAUGAACGACCUGUACCUACAAGCCAAAGUCUUCGUGCUGCUUAAUUAG
rnacentral:rRNA from 1 species